ensembl:lncRNA
GCAGAGUCUCAAUGACGUUUAUAAGAAACAGGUGUGAUGAUGUUGGUGCUCUCAUUCCUCAAGGGACCCUAAAAGAGGAGAGGGCACUCUUCCUGAAGGAACAUACCAGAAGCUUACAGAGAUACAUACGUUGUUUGUGGCUUUCCUGCAGGCUACAGAAAACCUCUGGUUGCAGGAGAAGAGGAAAGGAACUGUUCUAUCAUAUGAGAUUUCUAAGUUUAUAGUGGUGGUGCUGUGUUUUUAACUAUAUCUGAACACUUGCUCUGUCUCAUGUUCUUUCUUCAUGCCCCCCCAGUCCUUGAUCUCUCAGCUGGAAGCAACCAGCAUUUUUCACUCAGCACAAGGUCCUUUGAAGCGAUCCUUUGGAGUUCCCAAAUCCCUUUUGUUUAGCCUUUUCUCCAUCUGAGUUUGUUAAAUUUUAAAGUAUAGAAAAAACGACCACACAAACUGUUCCUUCAGCAAACAUCAUAUGAAGAAUGUUUUGGCAUUUCCAAAGUUCAUGUUUUCAGAGUGAAUAUGUCCAAAUAACGUCUUUUGAUGUUUGUUUCAAUUGCUGACUCUUUUCCUGCUGCUUUUUAUGUGCUGGAACAGCUCAGUGAGUUCUACCCUAAAUCAUCACUAGUCUCAGUACUAAUUUUGGGGCAAAAAAUACAGAAGGUCCCAAUCAUGCAGAUGCAACUGGAGUUUCACAUGCGAGAGCUGUGAGCCUGAUGUCUGUGCUGGGAAUACUUUGUUGAGAGAAAUAUUUCUGAAGGGAAAUACCUUAUAUAAUAAACUUCCUGAGUUUGUAUCAGUUGAAAACUCAUCAGAAAAGUUCUCUGAAGCUCAGAAAUCAACUGUUGCUCAUCUGCUGUUUGUUUAUUGGCCUACUUUCAUCCUACCACAGUGACGUCAAUCUUUCCUUCUUUUCAAAAUCUUUUCCAUUUGAACCAACCAAACAAAAGAAACCAUGCAUCUAAUGGAACAUUAAAACAGAGUUGAAACAAGCAAACAAGCUGCAAGCAGCUCCUGAAGGUGCACAGGAUGAUUAAAGGACCUGCAUUUCAACCCUUGAUGUGCACUGCAAUAUACAAGAGAGAAUUUUUAUUUUUUUUUUCAGCAUAUUUAUUGCAGGAAACAAUCAUUUUCUGGUUACUGGUUAUGAUACUAUGUUUUCUGCUGUGUCUAGACAGCAUAGUAAACACAUUGUCUGCUCUCCAAGGUGAAUUUGGCCUUGUUAGACUCAUAAAAAAAUACCGACUGAUUUCAGUGGCUGCUCGGUACUGUUUGAAUAUAGGGUUUAGCUUCUGUUGUUUUAUUCCAGCCACAUUUUCUUCACUUUUCUUGUUAUUUAGAAAGUGUAAAGUCUGUUUAUUUCAGCUCUGUGAUCUACAGUGUUUCAUGGUCCUAGAGACUCAUACUUGUUUGGUGAAAUAUCUAAGUAGAUGUUUAUAUAAUGACUCUUUCUUGAAAUUUAGUAUCUUCUGGGUUAACUUGAUAAAUAAUGCUAAAAGAAAAGGUGGCAGAGUCCUGUAUCCGUGUGUAGCUUUGACCAUGAAUAGUCUCACAGAAACUACUGGGACCAGGCAUGUUUCGUAAGGUUUAUUUCAUCAGGGCCAAACAUGAGAUUCGUGAAAAAAAACGAAGAUAUAGUUUACAGGGUAAUAGAAGACAAUGUGAAAUUAAGGUUAGCUUUUGCUCUUAUGGGCUUUCUGCUUUCUUUACCUCUCACAAGACUCCAAAUAGGUACUACUGCUAACUCUAAGUUCGUAUAGGACUGCAGUAAAAAAAUGAUAGCCAUUUAAUUGUAAAUAUAUAUGUAUGUUUGAAAUUUCAUGGUCAUGAAGGUUUUUUUUUGCCUGGUUUUGUUUUGCAAGGGGCACAGGCAGAGCAUGGGGUGAGUGACUGAAAAGAGUUGACCUGUUGUACAUUGCCUGAGGCUUGCAGGUGUGAGAACAAAGUUGAGCAGCUGUAUUUCUGCCUCUUCACAGGAGAAUGCCAAAAGGAGUGAACCAAAGACAUAAGGUCUGCGAAAACCUGUUUCCAGAGUAUAAACUGCAGACCAUUGCAGUUAUGGUGCCUGAAUACAAUCCAGUGGGAAGCAGUCCAGAGUGGCUGGACAUUCAGGUAACCUGACCACCUGCUGCCUCAUCUCCAAGAUGAAGUUGUUACAUGUGAGAAAUGUUAAACAGAGAUGGCAGAAGCAGCUAAAAAUCAUGGUCCUGAAGCUGAGAAACAAAGGAAGAACCUAUAGAGAUGAGGAAGCAGGCUCAGCAUCAAUAGAGAUACUACACUACGUUGGACUUUUAUCUCAAGGACAAUCAUUCAUGAUGGUUUUGUCUUAUCAAUGUUCUAGAAAGGGUAAUAUAACUGGGUCAGAGUCAUAUAUAAAAACACUGAACUUUUUAGACCAUUUGCAGUUCCUGCAAGGUACCUUGUAACAUUGGCCAGGGAAGUCUAGCUGGUCUAAUGCCUCUUCAGAAAGCUCAUGGCUUGGAAAGCAACAAAGUAGACAAAAGAGUGGGCACAACCUCACAUACGGGGAAAUGCCUCCAGCCUGGUAAGGAGUGUCUCAUAUCAACAUGAGGCAAUCAGAUUUGCUUUGUGGACAGUUAUACAUUUAAAAGCAUUUCUUUGGAAUUGUUCGCCUUCGAAUGGGGGGGCCUAGGAAUGUUCAUUGGCUGAAGACUUGGCCUGUGGGCAAAUGAUUCCAACUUGAUACAGGAAAUUGGGAGAUUAUACCAAUGUAUCCUGUGUAGGCAAGAUACAAAGCUGGCAUUUCCCUGCUUCCUUUUAUCUGCUGAUAGAAAUUUGCAUGGCCUGGAAAACAGGAACAGGGCCAGACAGUCACUCCAGAAGAGCAGGCUCCACCACUUUGGACUAUAAGUAAGAGUUUGUACUGUCAUUGUUAGUUGUCAUUGACUGACCAGUACAACCUUGGACAACCCACUGCUACUGAAGAUCAG